rnacentral:rRNA from 1 species
UAGUUGGUGGGGUAAAGGCCUACCAAGGCGACGAUCAGUAGCGGGUCUGAGAGGAUGAUCCGCCACACUGGGACUGAGACACGGCCCAGACUCCUACGGGAGGCAGCAGUGGGGAAUUUUGGACAAUGGGGGCAACCCUGAUCCAGCCAUUCCGCGUGAGUGAAGAAGGCCUUCGGGUUGUAAAGCUCUUUCAGCUGGAACGAAACGGUACGUCCUAAUACGGUGUGCUAAUGACGGUACCAGCAGAAGAAGCACCGGCUAACUACGUGCCAGCAGCCGCGGUAAUACGUAGGGUGCGAGCGUUAAUCGGAAUUACUGGGCGUAAAGCGUGCGCAGGCGGAUUGUUAAGCAAGAUGUGAAAUCCCCGGGCUUAACCUGGGAAUGGCAUUUUGAACUGGCAGUCUAGAGUGUGUCAGAGGGGGGUGGAAUUCCACGUGUAGCAGUGAAAUGCGUAGAGAUGUGGAGGAACACCAAUGGCGAAGGCAGCCCCCUGGGAUAACACUGACGCUCAUGUACGAAAGCGUGGGUAGCAAACAGGAUUAGAUACCCUGGUAGUCCACGCCCUAAACGAUGUCAACUGGUUGUUGGGGGAGUGAAAUCCCUUAGUAACGAAGCUAACGCGUGAAGUUGACCGCCUGGGGAGUACGGUCGCAAGAUUAAAACUCAAAGGAAUUGACGGGGACCCGCACAAGCGGUGGAUGAUGUGGAUUAAUUCGAUGCAACGCGAAAAACCUUACCUACCCUUGACAUGUCCAGAACCCUGCAGAGAUGCGGGGGUGCCCGAAAGGGAAUUGGAACACAGGUGCUGCAUGGCUGUCGUCAGCUUGUGUCGUGAGAUGUUGGGUUAAGUCCCGCAACGAGCGCAACCCUUAUCAUUAGUUGCUACGCAAGGGCACUCUAAUGAGACUGCCGG